rnacentral:rRNA from 1 species
UACGUAGGGGGCAAGCGUUGUCCGGAAUUAUUGGGCGUAAAGCGCGCGCAGGCGGUUCUUUAAGUCUGAUGUGAAAGCCCACGGCUCAACCGUGGAGGGUCAUUGGAAACUGGGGAACUUGAGGACAGAAGAGGAGAGUGGAAUUCCACGUGUAGCGGUGAAAUGCGUAGAUAUGUGGAGGAACACCAGUGGCGAAGGCGACUCUCUGGUCUGUUUCUGACGCUGAGGUGCGAAAGCGUGGGUAGCAAACAGG